AUGGAAGGCGAUCCGAUGGGCGUGGCGCUGCCCGAGGACGCCCUCGCGGAAAUCCUCCGCCGCCUCCCGCCGCGCAGCCUCGCCACCUCGCGGUGCGUCUGCAAGGCGUGGCGCUCCAUCGUCGAUGGCCGCCGGCUGCUGCUCCCGGAGCUCCUGCCGCACUCGGUGCGUGGCAUCUUCCUCGAGUAUAACGAGGCCUCUUACCCGGGUUUCCUCUCUCACCCCUCCAUGGAGCCGGAUGAUAUCUUGGGCAAGCUCAACUUCCAUCGUCUUCGCCCCGACCCCUACCAGUGGACCUAUACUCACAUCGAGGGUCACUGUAAUGGGCUCCUGCUUUACCGAGACAGGCUAGGGCUCCAAGUGGCCAACCCCGCGACGCAGUGGCGGGCACGCUUGCCCCCGCCCCCGGAGACGGAGAGGGAGGGGGGGUUCGUCGAGCCGCACCUUGCGUUUGAUCCCACCGAGUCACUGCACUACGAGAUAUUGCUCGUCCCUCAAACGCCUCUUGCAGAGGAGAGGGACCAGCCCGAGCCGUCCAAGGAAUGGCCAGCAUCCACAUGGGUGUUGUGCUUGUUUUCAUCACGCACCGGGCAGUGGGAACAGAGGGCGUUUCUCCGGGAAGGCGAGGCCGCAGGGAUGGCUUCCGACGAGGUGUUGCACCGGACGUCAGAUAGCUGCAGCACUUAUUGGCACGGCAUGUUAUUUGUGCAGUGCAACGGUGGUUUCACUGUUAUGAGAAUAUCCUUGUCAAAUAAUAAGUAUCGGGUGAUUAAAAUACCAACAGAUAUUGAGGAAUCAGAAUAUUAUAAGCUUCAUCUAGGACGGUCAAGGGAAGGGUUAUGUUGUGCAACAUUUCGUGAUCGGACCAACCUUCGUGUUUGGAUCCUUGACGAUUCAUGUGGUACGAUGGAGUGGGCGUUGAAGCAUCACAUUGACCUUGACCAGAGUUUAUCACGUGUAAUGUGGCAUUGUGGGGAAAAGGAGGGACCCUGGAGUUUACAGGAUGCUAUCAAUGUUGAACACUAUGGUCAACAGGAUUUAAAUGAUGUUAACAUGGAUGAAGAUCACAGCAACAAUUCUUUUGUGAAGAGUGAAGUCGAAUGGGAUUCCGACAACGAUAAUAUAGGUGACAAUGAGUCUGAGGUCGUAGAGAACUACUUACCCUAUGUUUGUUUUCUUGGAUUUCAUCCUUACAAAGAAGUCAUCUUCUUGAAUCUUCUUUCGCUAAGAAGAGCAGUGGCCUAUCAUCUGAAUACCUCAAUAGUGCAGGAUUUGGGUAAUAUAUGGCCCAAUGACUACGAUGCUGGGCACGCGGGAGGCAUAUAUAAGUCUUUUCUGUACACACCUUGUUUGUUAGCAGAUUUCCCAGAAAACAAAUUGGAAGCCCAUGUUGCAGGCUAG
rnacentral:rRNA from 1 species